rnacentral:rRNA from 1 species
GAUCAUGGCUCAGAUUGAACGCUGGCGGCAGGCCUAACACAUGCAAGUCGAGCGGCAUCGGGAAGGUAGCUUGCUAUCUUUGCCGGCGAGCGGCGGACGGGUGAGUAAAGUCUGGGGAUCUGCCUGAUGGAGGGGGAUAACUACUGGAAACGGUAGCUAAUACCGCAUGAUGUUACGCGACCAAAGCGGGGGACCUCCGGGCCUCGCGCCAUCAGAUGAACCCAGAUGGGAUUAGCUAGUAGGAGAGGUAAUGGCUCCCCUAGGCGACGAUCCCUAGCUGGUCUGAGAGGAUAACCAGCCACACUGGAACUGAGAGACGGUCCAGACUCCUACGGGAGGCAGCAGUGGGGAAUAUUGCACAAUGGGCGCAAGCCUGAUGCNAGCCAUGCCGCGUGUGUGAAG